rnacentral:rRNA from 1 species
UUAAGCGACUAAGCGUACACGGUGGAUGCCCUGGCAGUCAGAGGCGAUGAAGGACGUGCUAAUCUGCGAUAAGCGUCGGUGAGGUGAUAUGAACCGUUAUAACCGGCGAUUUCCGAAUGGGGAAACCCAGUGUGUUUCGACACACUAUCAUUAACUGAAUCCAUAGGUUAAUGAGGCGAACCGGGGGAACUGAAACAUCUAAGUACCCCGAGGAAAAGAAAUCAACCGAGAUUCCCCCAGUAGCGGCGAGCGAACGGGGAGGAGCCCAGAGCCUGAAUCAGUGUGUGUGUUAGUGGAAGCGUCUGGAAAGGCGUGCGAUACAGGGUGACAGCCCCGUACACAAAAAUGCACAUAUUGUGAGCUCGAUGAGUAGGGCGGGACACGUGGUAUCCUGUCUGAAUAUGGGGGACCAUCCUCCAAGGCUAAAUACUCCUGACUGACCGAUAGUGAACCAGUACCGUGAGGGAAAGGCGAAAAGAACCCCGGCGAGGGGAGUGAAAAAGAACCUGAAACCGUGUACGUACAAGCAGUGGGAGCCUCUUAAUGGGGUGACUGCGUACCUUUUGUAUAAUGGGUCAGCGACUUAUAUUCUGUAGCAAGGUUAACCGAAUAGGGGAGCCGAAGGGAAACCGAGUCUUAACUGGGCGUUAAGUUGCAGGGUAUAGACCCGAAACCCGGUGAUCUAGCCAUGGGCAGGUUGAAGGUUGGGUAACACUAACUGGAGGACCGAACCGACUAAUGUUGAAAAAUUAGCGGAUGACUUGUGGCUGGGGGUGAAAGGCCAAUCAAACCGGGAGAUAGCUGGUUCUCCCCGAAAGCUAUUUAGGUAGCGCCUCGUGAAUUCAUCUCCGGGGGUAGAGCACUGUUUCGGCAAGGGGGUCAUCCCGACUUACCAACCCGAUGCAAACUGCGAAUACCGGAGAAUGUUAUCACGGGAGACACACGGCGGGUGCUAACGUCCGUCGUGAAGAGGGAAACAACCCAGACCGCCAGCUAAGGUCCCAAAGUCAUGGUUAAGUGGGAAACGAUGUGGGAAGGCCCAGACAGCCAGGAUGUUGGCUUAGAAGCAGCCAUCAUUUAAAGAAAGCGUAAUAGCUCACUGGUCGAGUCGGCCUGCGCGGAAGAUGUAACGGGGCUAAACCAUGCACCGAAGCUGCGGCAGCGACACUAUGUGUUGUUGGGUAGGGGAGCGUUCUGUAAGCCUGUGAAGGUGGCCUGUGAGGGUUGCUGGAGGUAUCAGAAGUGCGAAUGCUGACAUAAGUAACGAUAAAGCGGGUGAAAAGCCCGCUCGCCGGAAGACCAAGGGUUCCUGUCCAACGUUAAUCGGGGCAGGGUGAGUCGACCCCUAAGGCGAGGCCGAAAGGCGUAGUCGAUGGGAAACAGGUUAAUAUUCCUGUACUUGGUGUUACUGCGAAGGGGGGACGGAGAAGGCUAUGUUGGCCGGGCGACGGUUGUCCCGGUUUAAGCGUGUAGGCUGGUUUUCCAGGCAAAUCCGGAAAACCAAGGCUGAGGCGUGAUGACGAGGCACUACGGUGCUGAAGCGACAAAUGCCCUGCUUCCAGGAAAAGCCUCUAAGCAUCAGGUAACAUCAAAUCGUACCCCAAACCGACACAGGUGGUCAGGUAGAGAAUACCAAGGCGCUUGAGAGAACUCGGGUGAAGGAACUAGGCAAAAUGGUGCCGUAACUUCGGGAGAAGGCACGCUGAUAUGUAGGUGAAGCGACUUGCUCGUGGAGCUGAAAUCAGUCGAAGAUACCAGCUGGCUGCAACUGUUUAUUAAAAACACAGCACUGUGCAAACACGAAAGUGGACGUAUACGGUGUGACGCCUGCCCGGUGCCGGAAGGUUAAUUGAUGGGGUUAGCGGCAACGCGAAGCUCUUGAUCGAAGCCCCGGUAAACGGCGGCCGUAACUAUAACGGUCCUAAGGUAGCGAAAUUCCUUGUCGGGUAAGUUCCGACCUGCACGAAUGGCGUAAUGAUGGCCAGGCUGUCUCCACCCGAGACUCAGUGAAAUUGAACUCGCUGUGAAGAUGCAGUGUACCCGCGGCAAGACGGAAAGACCCCGUGAACCUUUACUAUAGCUUGACACUGAACAUUGAGCCUUGAUGUGUAGGAUAGGUGGGAGGCUUUGAAGUGUGGACGCCAGUCUGCAUGGAGCCGACCUUGAAAUACCACCCUUUAAUGUUUGAUGUUCUAACGUUGGCCCGUAAUCCGGGUUGCGGACAGUGUCUGGUGGGUAGUUUGACUGGGGCGGUCUCCUCCUAAAGAGUAACGGAGGAGCACGAAGGUUGGCUAAUCCUGGUCGGACAUCAGGAGGUUAGUGCAAUGGCAUAAGCCAGCUUGACUGCGAGCGUGACGGCGCGAGCAGGUGCGAAAGCAGGUCAUAGUGAUCCGGUGGUUCUGAAUGGAAGGGCCAUCGCUCAACGGAUAAAAGGUACUCCGGGGAUAACAGGCUGAUACCGCCCAAGAGUUCAUAUCGACGGCGGUGUUUGGCACCUCGAUGUCGGCUCAUCACAUCCUGGGGCUGAAGUAGGUCCCAAGGGUAUGGCUGUUCGCCAUUUAAAGUGGUACGCGAGCUGGGUUUAGAACGUCGUGAGACAGUUCGGUCCCUAUCUGCCGUGGGCGCUGGAGAACUGAGGGGGGCUGCUCCUAGUACGAGAGGACCGGAGUGGACGCAUCACUGGUGUUCGGGUUGUCAUGCCAAUGGCACUGCCCGGUAGCUAAAUGCGGAAGAGAUAAGUGCUGAAAGCAUCUAAGCACGAAACUUGCCCCGAGAUGAGUUCUCCCUGACUCCUUGAGAGUCCUGAAGGAACGUUGAAGACGACGACGUUGAUAGGCCGGGUGUGUAAGCGCAGCGAUGCGUUGAGCUAACCGGUACUAAUGAACCGUGAGGCUUAACCUU